GGGGCCAUCCACCCACCCUCACCUCUGAGAGCAGCGGGGCCAGGUGCUCCAGUGGCACCGCGGGUAGGUCCCCGCAGAGCACCGUGCCGCGGAGGCUGUGAUUUCCCGGAGGCUCGGACUUAGUGCGCAAGAAAAAGAGCCCCUUGGCGCGAGCUCGGCUGGGCUCUGGUCCUGCGUCUAGACCGGGUGUCACCACCAGGCCCCCGGGCCCGGACUGAACCACCAGCAGUGGCCGCGGAUCCGAAGCAGCGUUGUGAUCCAGGAAGGCCUGCAGCAGCCUCCCCGCCUCGGCUGUGCCUGCACAGCGCUCCCAGGUGCCCGCGGCCGGACGCAGGCUCCGAGCCACAAAAGUCCCCAGGAGCCGCAGCCUCGGGUCUCCAGGCUCCUCGUCCCCAGACUCCGCCAGCGCUGCCUGCUCCUUGGCGCCGGGCAUCGCGUGUUGCCAGCUGCAGCGUCUGUUUCCCUAGCGACGGGGAUGCCAGGCCCUCCCGCCUCUGCUCUCCUUAUAUUGGGCCCUGGACUCUAGCUCCGCCCCACUAAGUUAAUAAGCAGAGCACGGGAAGUGAACAAGGAUGUGCCAGCAAGAAAGGAAAUCUAGCAGCAGAUGGAGGUACAGGCCACUCACAACCUUUACCUUUCCUAUAGUGAAAAGACUUCAGAACCACCAGCAAGAUGAAAAAAUGGAUCUUUCUUCCAGCAUCCAGAACUCAAGAAGCUCAUGUUUGAACCCCUAGUGGCACUAUUUGGGGAUGCUGUGGAACCUGUUGAAUAUGGUACAUGACUGGAGGAAGACUGGAAGACCAUCAGUUUUGAAGAUUAUAUCGCCUUCUGCUUUGUAUCUAUCACUUCCUUCUUCCUGGUCUGGCUGGGGUGUGACACAUUCCACCAUGGACUCCCACUACCAUGAAGGUGCUCAGCCAUCCCUGCUUCAAUGGGCUGUGCCCUCAACCAUGGGCCAAAUAUUUCCUCCCUUCUCUCUGUCAGCUAUUUUAGGACAAGAUCAAGAAAAACAACUAAUAAAAUAGUAAUUAUGGCGAUUAUAAUGACCAUAGGAAAAUAUUAAUUUACUAAUGCAUGUCUAUUCUUCAUUUCAAAAAUGGCACCAGCUGACCAGUAUCCAAAGCCAGAAGCCUGGAGGUUAGCUUUUUCCUCCCUCUGCUCUCCACCUUCACCUUCUUCCAUGAUCUUUCUCAAGCCACUGCUUCAUCACUCCCAAAGUCCACCUUGAAUGGAUAUGCUGCACAAGACAUACAGUUUCUCUGGAUUACUCUACUGCCGUGGCAUCCUAACUGAUUGUUCUCUUCUUGCCUCCCUGAGACUCAAUCUCCAUAGAGUUGCCAAAAUGAUCCCUUAAAACAUUAGCUGAAUCAUGUCAUGCCCCUGAAUUAAAGCUUCCCACUACUCCUGGAAUAGAUCCAAAUUCCUAGAUGUUUCUCAGAGUUCAGUUCCUAGAAGUCAAAUUCUUCUCUCCUUGGGGCCUUUGUUGUUGUUCUGUAUGUACCUUGUCACAAGCUGGCUUCCUCUCGGCUUCUGGAUCUCUGUUUUUUUUUCCCUUUAGAGAAGCUAGACUUGAUCUUUCUAAAUAAUGCCUCUUAUUAUUCUCUUCCACACACCCUUGUUUAUUGCUGUCACCGUACUUAGCACAAUGUGUAAUCAACUAAUCUCAUUAUUUUAUUUAUGUAUUUUCCAUCUCCCAUUACUAAACAAGGGCAGGACCCAUGUUUCUCAUGCUCAUUGUUAUACCUGUUGCAUCUAGCACCAUGCCUAGCAGGUGUUCCACAAAUGUGAAUGAGUUGCCUCUUAAAAUUAUACACCGUGUUGCAGUUGACAGACACUGUCAGCCAGAGAAGCGAAGAGAAGUUAUCAUUAAGGAUGGCUUUAUGUGUGCAAAGGGCAUGGGGUAGAAUUGGCUGAUAGCAUCACCACAAGCAAGCCACAUAAAAUUGUAUCCUGGAGUCAGUGGAGAGUGUUGUAUCCUAUUCCCUGUGACGACAUGGAAAACAGCAAGGUGGAGAUGGGGAUCUGUGGUCUUAAGACACAGUGCAGCUUCCUGGCCAUCCUGGGGAGAAGUGGUUACUUUAGUACACACAAAAUAGUCACAUGCAUCCAACCUACAGCAUAUUCCAUGGAUCAGGAGUGCACACCAGCUUUGAUUAAAGCUUCAAUCUCUCCUGUCACUUCACCCACUUUUCUAAGUUGUUUGCUUUCAUUCUUAGCCAGCUGUUCUUUCACUGGCCAUGUGUAUGGGUUUGUAUGGAUAUGCAUUCACCAAUAUCUAUCAUUCAACACCCACAACUUCAUUUUCUCACUUUCCAUCUCUCCUCUUAUAUUGGUCUUUAAGACUCUAGACCAUACUUUAUCUGCCUUCAUCAUUCCAAGGCCAGGUCCCUAAUACUCAAGUUAACCCUUAUGCUCCAGAGCCCCACUGAAAUGAUCUGCUCUGACCCGCCAUGAACCUGUAUUCUUUCCUUACCUUUACCUUGGAAUCACCCACAAGGUUCUGGUCAGGGUUCCUCCUUUUCCUACCAGCUAGGGUUGCUCCUUGUGCUACUUGCCUGCCAUGAGGCCCUGCAUGGCAUGUGGCCUCCUUCUAGGAACUUGUGAACACACAGACUUCUUCCUUCACUCUAUGUGGUGGUUUGAAUAGGUAGAGCCCCCAUAAACUCAUGUGUUUGAAUUCUUGGUCUUGUUGAAGUAGGUGCGGUCUUAUUGGAGGACGUAGGUAAUUUUGGGGCAGGUUUUGAGCUCUCCUAUGCUCAAGCUAUGCCCAUUGUGACACAUAGUCUCUUGUUGCCUGCAAAUCAAAAUAUAGAACUCUUGGCACCAUGUCUGACUGUAUGCUGCCAUGCUUCCCACCAUGAUGAUAAUGGACUAAACCUCUCAAACUAUAAGUCAGUUCCAGUUAAAUGUUUUCCUUUAUAAGAAUUGCCUUGGUCACUGUGUCUGUUUGUAGCAAUGAAACCCUAAGACACCCCAGUUGUCCAUGUACCUGUUUUCACAUAGCUGAUAUAACAAAUCUCAAGGGAUGUUUUAAAACAACAGUGUUUGCUAUUUGGAUGACAUUUAUAUUUAUUAUAAUUAGCAUAAUUUUUAACAAAGUCGAGUACUUUGAGCAGACUCAUACUCUUGGUUGGAUGAAAACAGAAAAUGGUAGGCAGCUACUCAUAAUUUAGACUACUAGGUAAUACUUAUAAAUUAAACAAUAAAAUUCUAUUUUUAAAAAUCCC
ensembl:processed_transcript Gm12296 predicted gene 12296